rnacentral:rRNA from 1 species
GAUGAACGCUGGCGGCGUGCCUAAUACAUGCCAGUCGAGCGAACAGACGAGGAGCUUGCUCCUUCGACGUUAGCGGCGGACGGGUGAGUAACACGUAGGUAACCUACCUAUAAGACUGGGAUAACUUCGGGAAACCGGGGCUAAUACCGGAUAAUAUUUCGAACCGCAUGGUUCGAUAGUGAAAGAUGGCUUUGCUAUCACUUAUAGAUGGACCUGCGCCGUAUUAGCUAGUUGGUAAGGUAACGGCUUACCAAGGCAACGAUACGUAGCCGACCUGAGAGGGUGAUCGGCCACACUGGAACUGAGACACGGUCCAGACUCCUACGGGAGGCAGCAGUAGGGAAUCUUCCGCAAUGGGCGAAAGCCUGACGGAGCAACGCCGCGUGAGUGAUGAAGGUCUUCGGAUCGUAAAACUCUGUUAUUAGGGAAGAACAAACGUGUAAGUAACUGUGCACGUCUUGACGGUACCUAAUCAGAAAGCCACGGCUAACUACGUG